rnacentral:rRNA from 1 species
AACGAACGCUGGCGGCAGGCUUAACACAUGCAAGUCGAACGGACGUAGCAAUACGUUAGUGGCAGACGGGUGAGUAACGCGUGGGAAUAUGCCCUUUAGUUCGGAAUAACUCAGGGAAACUUGAGCUAAUACCGGAUAAUCCCGAGAGGGGAAAGAUUUAUCGCUGAAGGAGUAGCCCGCGUCUGAUUAGCUAGUUGGUGAGGUAAUGGCUCACCAAGGCGACGAUCAGUAGCUGGUCUGAGAGGAUGAUCAGCCACACUGGGACUGAGACACGGCCCAGACUCCUACGGGAGGCAGCAGUGGGGAAUAUUGGACAAUGGGGGCAACCCUGAUCCAGCCAUGCCGCGUGAGUGAUGAAGACCUUAGGGUUGUAAAACUCUUUUGUCCGGGAAGAUAAUGACUGUACCGGAAGGAUAAGCCCCGGCUAACUUCGUGCCAGCCGCCGCCGUAAGAC